GUGCGUUGAUGAUGGUGAUGAUGAUGAUGAUGGAGUCUCCAGCGGGAAACAACGGCUGAGCCUUGGCGGAGUCCCAGUGGGAAGGAAUUGAUUAGCGAGCCAGUGGUUUGCAUGGUGCCACUCACUCUCCUGUCCUUACCUAUCGUGUUGCCACCGGGGUCCAAAAUGCAAUGGGCACAUCAAAAGAAAAGAAGCAAAAUGAGAAGGAAUCUUCAACUGAAUGUGCUGAAAAGAGUUAGUGAAGCCAGUUUGCUAAGGGCUAGCUGAACAUUAGAGCAAUGAAAACAGAGGAAGUCCUUGGGAGAUACAUAAACAG